rnacentral:rRNA from 1 species
GUCGAACGAACUCUGGUAUUGAUUGGUGCUUGCAUCAUGAUUUACAUUUGAGUGAGUGGCGAACUGGUGAGUAACACGUGGGAAACCUGCCCAGAAGCGGGGGAUAACACCUGGAAACAGAUGCUAAUACCGCAUAACAACUUGGACCGCAUGGUCCGAGUUUGAAAGAUGGCUUCGGCUAUCACUUUUGGAUGGUCCCGCGGCGUAUUAGCUAGAUGGUGGGGUAACGGCUCACCAUGGCAAUGAUACGUAGCCGACCUGAGAGGGUAAUCGGCCACAUUGGGACUGAGACACGGCCCAAACUCCUACGGGAGGCAGCAGUAGGGAAUCUUCCACAAUGGACGAAAGUCUGAUGGAGCAACGCCGCGUGAGUGAAGAAGGGUUUCGGCUCGUAAAACUCUGUUGUUAAAGAAGAACAUAUCUGAGAGUAACUGUUCAGGUAUUGACGGUAUUUAACCAGAAAGCCACGGCUAACUACGUGCCAGCAGCCGCGGUAAUACGUAGGUGGCAAGCGUUGUCCGGAUUUAUUGGGCGUAAAGCGAGCGCAGGCGGUUUUUUAAGUCUGAU